AAGUCGUAACAAGGUAUCCGUAGGUGAACCUGCGGAUGGAUCAUUAAAGCAGUGUGGUUGCUUCGGCAGCUGCCUACCCGCUCUGUGCACUGUACGGUACCCUGCGGGGUUGUCUCGCAAGAGGCGAUCCCGCGAAGGGCAGUCUCUUAACGGAGGCUUGUCCGAACCAACUCGUCUGACCAAAGUCUGAUCAAACAAACGAAUAAUAGUAAACAACUUUUGACAACGGAUCUCUUGGCUCUC
rnacentral:misc_RNA from 1 species